UUCCUGUGGAGUGUCAAAAUUGGCUUAAAGGUUUCACUGUUUUGCCAUACAUCGCAACUGAAGGCUAUAGAUUAAAUUAGGACAGCGAAACGGACAUGCAAUCAACAAGUUAUCAAUGCAUCUUGACCCUGAAUUUCACAUCUGGAGUUAUAGCUACAGCUGUCUUGAAUGCGGCCAAAAACGAGAGAGAGGGAGAGUGUGUUCUGCUCCAACUGCUGUCCCUUCUAUGCCAGCCACCAUCUAGAUUCUUUUCACCACUGUAUAUGUUUGAGAGGAGAGGCAAAAACAAAGAGAAACGGAGAGGAAAUAUGAGUUUUUGAGUCUGUGAACAGUGCAUCAUCAAAUCUUGAUCUGGAGCUCAUUUGCUGUCCGAUUGUUCUGAUUUUUGGAUAUGUUGUUCAUGAGACUCAAUUCUACUUUCUGAAUGGUGGAGAUUGAAAUCCAAGCACUGUAAGGCAAUUAAUUGUGGGUAAACCCCAAACUGCAGUUUUUGUGUCUUUUGGGAUUAUUCUCUCCAUAAAUUGUGAUAUUUUGAACCUGUUUUUGCUGAGAUUGUUGGUGAUGGAUUUGUGAAGUUUAUGAUGUUUGUAUGCUUCUAGUUUGCACUAGAGAAGACUUUGUAUUCCCAUUUUUGAUGAUAGUGAAAGACUUUAAUCGGGUUAGGGUCCCGUGGUUUUUACUCCUCACAUUGGGGAGGUUUUCCACGUAAAAAUUUGGGUGUCAUUGAUCUUUAAUUUUCUGCAAAUAUUUGUAGCUUUUGAUUAUAUUCACUUGAGAAAG